GCAGUCGAGCGAAUGGAUUAAGAGCUUGCUCUUAUGAAGUUAGCGGCGGACGGGUGAGUAACACGUGGGUAACCUACCCAUAAGACUGGGAUAACUCCGGGAAACCGGGGCUAAUACCGGAUAAUAUUUUGAACUGCAUAGUUCGAAAUUGAAAGGCGGCUUCGGCUGUCACUUAUGGAUGGACCCGCGUCGCAUUAGCUAGUUGGUGAGGUAACGGCUCACCAAGGCGACGAUGCGUAGCCGACCUGAGAGGGUGAUCGGCCACACUGGGACUGAGACACGGCCCAGACUCCUACGGGAGGCAGCAGUAGGGAAUCUUCCGCAAUGGACGAAAGUCUGACGGAGCAACGCCGCGUGAGUGAUGAAGGCUUUCGGGUCGUAAAACUCUGUUGUUAGGGAAGAACAAGUGCUAGUUGAAUAAGCUGGCACCUUGACGGUACCUAACCAGAAAGCCACGGCUAACUACGUGCCAGCAGCCGCGGUAAUACGUAGGUGGCAAGCGUUAUCCGGAAUUAUUGGGCGUAAAGCGCGCGCAGGUGGUUUCUUAAGUCUGAUGUGAAAGCCCACGGGCUCACCGUGGAGGGUCAUUGGAAACUG
rnacentral:rRNA from 1 species